rnacentral:rRNA from 1 species
AAUCAUAAUGGCCGAAAAUCUAAGGUUUCCUGGGGAAGGUUCGUCCGCCCAGGGUUAGUCGGGAGCUAAGCUCAGGCCGAAAGGCGUAGGCGAUGCACAUACGGUAGAAAUUCCGUAACCACCGAACUUUAAGCUAGAGGGACGCUUUCUUUAAGGUUAUCCCGGGCGAUGGUUGCCCCGGGCGUAAGGGACCGAAAUUUAGUAGGGAAGUAACUGGCGAGAGAGACGAGAAAAGCUCUAGUGUAUACUAAGGUGCCCGUACCGCAAACCGACACAGGUAGAUGGGAUGAGUAUUCUAAGGCCAACGGGAGAAGGGUUGUUAAGGAACUCGGCAAAUUGGCCCCGUAACUUCGGGAUAAGGGGCGCCUGCGAGAGCAGGCCGCAGUGAAAAGGCCCAAGCGACUGUUUAGCAAAAACACAGCUCUCUGCUAAAUCGAAAGAUGACGUAUAGGGGGUGACGCCUGCCCGGUGCUGGAAGGUUAAGGGGAGUGCUUAGCGCAAGCGAAGGUGCGAACUUAAGCCCCAGUAAACGGCGGCCGUAACUAUAACGGUCCUAAGGUAGCGAAAUUCCUUGUCAGGUAAGUUCUGACCCGCACGAAUGGCGUAACGAUUUGGGCACUGUCUCAACAGCCCGCCCGGCGAAAUUGUAGUACCGGUGAAGAUGCCGGUUUCCCGCAACUAGACGGAAAGACCCCAUGGAGCUUCACUGUAGCUUGAUAUUGGACUUCGGUAUUCCAUGUACAGGAUAGGUGGGAGGCUAGGAAGCGAGCGCGCCAGCGUUCGUGGAGCCAACCUUGGGAUACCACUCUUGGGAUAUUGGAGUUCUAACCUGCGACCAUGAAUCUGGUCGGGGGACAUUGUCAGGUGGGCAGUUUGACUGGGGCGGUCGCCUCCAAAAGAGUAACGGAGGCGCUCAAAGGUUCGUUCAGCACGGACGGAAAUCGUGCACUGAGUGUAAACGCAUAAACGAGCCUAACUGCGAGAAUGACGGUUCGAGCAGUAACGAAAGUUGGAGUUAGUGA